rnacentral:rRNA from 1 species
GUAAUUCCAGCUCCAAUAGCGUAUAUUAAAGUUGUUGCAGUUAAAAAGCUCGUAGUUGAACCUUGGGUCUGGCUGGCCGGUCCGCCUCACCGCGAGUACUGGUCCGGCUGGACCUUUCCUUCUGGGGAACCUCAUGGCCUUCACUGGCUGUGGGGGGAACCAGGACUUUUACUGUGAAAAAAUUAGAGUGUUCAAAGCAGGCCUUUGCUCGAAUACAUUAGCAUGGAAUAAUAGAAUAGGACGUGUGGUUCUAUUUUGUUGGUUUCUAGGACCGCCGUAAUGAUUAAUAGGGAUAGUCGGGGGCGUCAGUAUUCAGCUGUCAGAGGUAAUUCUUGGAUUUGCUGAAGACUAACUACUGCGAAAGCAUUCGCCAAGGAUGUUUUCAUUAAUCA